rnacentral:rRNA from 1 species
GAUGAACGCUGGCGGCGUGCCUAAUACAUGCAAGUCGAGCGAACAGACGAGGAGCUUGCUCCUCUGACGUUAGCGGCGGACGGGUGAGUAACACGUGGAUAACCUACCUAUAAGACUGGGAUAACUUCGGGAAACCGGAGCUAAUACCGGAUAAUAUAUUGAACCGCAUGGUUCAAUAGUGAAAGACGGUUUUGCUGUCACUUAUAGAUGGAUCCGCGCCGCAUUAGCUGGUUGGUAAGGUAACGGCUUACCAAGGCGACGAUGCGUAGCCGACCUGAGAGGGUGAUCGGCCACCCUGGAACUGAGACACGGUCCAGACUCCUACGGGAGGCAGCAGUAGGGAAUCUUCCGCAAUGGGCGAAAGCCUGACGGAGCAACGCCGCGUGAGUGAUGAAGGUCUUCGGAUCGUAAAACUCUGUUAUUAGGGAAGAACAAAUGUGUAAGUAACUAUGCACGUCUUGACGGUACCUAAUCAGAAAGCCACGGCUAACUACGUG